rnacentral:SRP_RNA from 1 species
GCUGGGCGCGUGGUGCGUGCCUGUAGUCCCAGCUAUUCGGGAGGCUGAGGCUGGAGGAUCUCUUGAGUCCAGGAGUUCUAGGCUGUAGUGCGCUAUGCCGAUCGGGUGUCCUCACUAAGCUCGGCAUCAAUAUGGUGACCUCCUGGGAGUGGGGGACCACCAGGUUGCCUAAGGAGGGUGAACCGGCCCAGGUCAGAAAUGGAGCAGGUCAAAACUCCCGUGCUUAUCAGUAGUGGGAUAGCGCCUAUGAAUAGCUACUGCAGUCCAGCCUGGGCAACAUAGCGAGAUCCUGUCUCU